AGAGUUUACAUAACCAAGAGAUAUCACAUGAAAUAACAUAAUAUGUUUUAGGAAACAUUUAUCUUUAAAUAGAUUCGACGCGCCCAUUCGACUCUCCACGCGCCUCCGAUAUCAAUCACCUGAAACUGUUGAAUAUGGGAUGAGCAUACAGGGUACACUCAGUGUGGGAACAUGCAAUAAUUGUCCAUGUUAAUAAAAUGGUAACACAUAUUGUCAUAACGUAACAUAACUUCCAUACGCACUGUGGCAACUCCAAGGACUUUAAUGUCCCGGACCCUAUAUAUGGAUCCCUGGCGACAAUAUAAUGGUUGCAACCCUGUAACAUGAAAUCGCAUUGUGGCAUACCAAGGACGGUGAAGUCCUGGACCAAUUAUGCUGGCCCCUAGCGAUAAAUAUUUUUACAACACAUACGGUAAACACAUAAUAUUAAAAUGGACAAAUAUUAACCACGUGCAUGUACUGAAAUAAAUCCCACACCUGGAAAUUUAACUUGAACUUGAACUUCAACUUGAAUGCUAACUUGAGUAAUACAAUUAAAAUUCAUAUCCUAGUCGCGCCGCACCUAGUCAGAUAAAUUCAAAUAAUAACAUAUAAGGGCCUAUUUGAACUUUAAAAUAAUUUAAACUUUAUGAAUUUAUUCUAUAAGAUAAUGUAGAAAUCAUUGGUUUAAUAGUUUUACAUAAUAAAAUAUUUUCUUGUAAAAUAAAUUCAACUUAAUACAAAAUUUUGAAAUCAUAUUAAGAAUUAUUACUACCAUAAUUUAUUGGCUAAUCAUUUCAAAUCCACAAUAAAAAUAAAUCAGGCCCAAAACAUUAUUAACCCACUUUUAAAAGCCCAUUCCCAUAUCCAUUUAUCAAGAGACCCUAAGCCCACUACUCUCCAACUUAAUUUAAAACUCCACACACAAAUCACCAGCACACUCACGCACCCUUCUCCAGCAGCCCUCCUUUUUCCCUUCUCUCUCUCUCCCUCGGUCUGCUCUCCACACCGCGCCUACCUCUUCUCCGGCGACCCUCGCCGCCUGCCAGCGCCUCCUCCUGGCCGACAGCACAAGCCGGUCAGGCCGCCUUCUCCCUCUUCCUGAUCAGAGACGCACGGUCGAGACCAUAGCACCGUCGCCCUGCUCCUGUCUCCUUCCGCCACCGCCCCUGAUUCCGUCCGCCGGUCGCCGCCCUCCGCCAGCAACAGCGCACGGCGUAGCUUUUCAGUCGGUUCCCUUUCGUUUUCCCGGAUCGGCAGCAGCCACUCACCCACUAUUUCCCCUUUUUCUUCUUCUAUUUCUAUUUUCUUUUUCAUGUAAUUAGCAAUAUAUAUAAAAUUACAGAAAAAAAAUAGAUGUAUGCAUGAUUGGAUUUUUGAAAACAAAGUUUUUGCUGUUUAGCCUUGGUUUUGGCGAAAAUGAAGAAAACUAUUGAUAUGCUUGAAAUGAAAUAACUUUACAAAAGUUAUUAAAAUUACCGAUUGAUGAUGUGCAGUGAGAAAUGGCAGAUUUGAGUUAUUUUGUGAAAAGAGCAAAUGGAGAAAUCUGUUGAUGGUUUAUGAUUUGAAGCU
rnacentral:lncRNA from 1 species